rnacentral:lncRNA from 10 species
GGGCGCUCUGUAGCACAGUGAGGUCUGAGAGUCCGCGUCUUGGCAUCUAAUUGAAUGUCUACUACGAUGUGGGUGGGUUCCAGCUCUCUCAGAAGCAGAUCCUGAGAGAAGGACUGAAGUGCAAGCAGCUAUGUGGGAGGUGAUCCCAGGAAACGCCUGUAGGGGAGAGGAAAAUGGAGCCGCCCAAGUCCCUGCAGGGACUUCACUGAGAAAUAAAUGACUGAGGCUUCCGCUGUGGACAACCGGGCUCAAGCCUGUUGGGACCUUCACGUCGACUGCUUGGCUGUGAUGUUUGGAGCUGGCACAGUCAUCUUGUCUCCUUGAAGCAUAACAUCAUCAACAUGCUGAGGAUGGAAGAGCAGAGAGCUGAAAGGAGCCGGGGCCCUGGUGAGCAUGGUGAGGUGCCAGUUCAGCCUUGGGAUAGCUUACUUCCAGUCCUCCUACUAAGGAAGCAGUCAAUGUACCUAUACUAUUCUUAGACAGAUAUUAUGUUCUGAAGGGAGUCACCCAAACUAUGCCACUUUAGCAUAAGGAUUAUUUUGAGCUGAAGACAAUUGAAAAGCAGCAGACUCAAGAAACGCUCACUACCUUUCUCUGUCUGCUGACAAAACAAGGCAUACAUUUCCUGUUGUGAAGGCAUCCCCUGCUCUCAUAUCAGGAAGGGAAAGACAACCUUUAUUACUGGAGUGGGGAAAGCAUGGAGAUGAGUCUGCACAAACAGACCUAUUAAAUAACCCUUACCAUCAACUGGUGUCCCCCAUAAAUUUACCUUCCCACAAUUUACUGCUCCUAGAAGCACA